rnacentral:rRNA from 1 species
UACAGAGGUCUCAAGCGUUGUUCGGAUUCAUUGGGCGUAAAGGGUGCGUAGGCGGCGCGGUAAGUCGGGUGUGAAAUCUUGGAGCUUAACUCCGAAACUGCAUUCGAUACUGCCGUGCUUGAGGACUGGAGAGGAGACUGGAAUUUACGGUGUAGCAGUGAAAUGCGUAGAGAUCGUAAGGAAGACCAGUGGCGAAGGCGGGUCUCUGGACAGUUCCUGACACUGAGGCACGAAGGCCAGGGGAGCAAACGGG